rnacentral:rRNA from 1 species
GACGAACGCUGGCGGCGUGCCUAAUACAUGCAAGUAGAACGCUGAAGCUUGGUGCUUGCACCGAGCGGAUGAGUUGCGAACGGGUGAGUAACGCGUAGGUAACCUGCCUGGUAGCGGGGGAUAACUAUUGGAAACGAUAGCUAAUACCGCAUAAGAGUAGAUGUUGCAUGACAUUUGCUUAAAAGGUGCAAUUGCAUCACUACCAGAUGGACCUGCGUUGUAUUAGCUAGUUGGUGAGGUAACGGCUCACCAAGGCAACGAUACAUAGCCGACCUGAGAGGGUGAUCGGCCACACUGGGACUGAGACACGGCCCAGACUCCUACGGGAGGCAGCAGUAGGGAAGCUUCGGCAAUGGACGGAAGUCUGACCGAGCAACGCCGCGUGAGCGAAGAAGGUUUUCGGAUCGUAAAGCUCUGUUGUAAGAGAAGAACGAGUGUGAGAGUGGAAAGUUCACACUGUGACGGUAGCUUACCAGAAAGGGACGGCUAACUACGUG